UAGGGAAUCUUCCGCAAUGGACGCAAGUCUGACGGAGCAACGCCGCGUGAGUGAAGAAGGAUUUCGGUUCGUAAAACUCUGUUGUUAGAGAAGAACAGCGCAUAGAGUAACUGUUAUGCGUGUGACGGUAUCUAACCAGAAAGCCACGGCUAACUACGUGCCAGCAGCCGCGGUAAUACGUAGGUGGCAAGCGUUGGCCGGAUGUAUUGGGCGGAUAGCGAGCGGAGGCGGUCAAUUAAGUCUGAUGUGAAAGCCCCCGGCUCAACCGGGGAGGGUCAUUAGAAACUGGUUGACUUGAGUGCAGAAGAGGAGAGUGGAAUUCCAUGUGUAGCGGUGAAAUUCGUAGAUAUAUGGAGGAACACCAGUGGCGAAGGCGACUCUCUGGUCUGUAACUGACGCUGAGGCUCGAAAGCGUGGGUAGCAAACAGG
rnacentral:rRNA from 1 species